rnacentral:rRNA from 1 species
GAUGAACGCUGGCGGCGUGCCUAAUACAUGCAAGUCGAGCGAACGGACGAGGAGCUUGCUCCUCUGACGUUAGCGGCGGACGGGUGAGUAACACGUGGAUAACCUACCUAUAAGACUGGGAUAACUUCGGGAACCCGGAGCUAAUACCGGAUAAUAUAUUGAACCGCAUGGUUCAAUAGUGAAAGACGGUUUUGCUGUCACUUAUAGAUGGAUCCGCGCCGCAUUAGCUAGUUGGUAAGGUAACGGCUUACCAAGGCAACGAUGCGUAGCCGACCUGAGAGGGUGAUCGGCCACACUGGAACUGAGACACGGUCCAGACUCCUACGGGAGGCAGCAGUAGGGAAUCUUCCGCAAUGGGCGAAAGCCUGACGGAGCAACGCCGCGUGAGUGAUGAAGGUCUUCGGAUCGUAAAACUCUGUUAUUAGGGAAGAACAAAUGUGUAAGUAACUAUGCACGUCUUGACGGUACCUAAUCAGAAAGCCACGGCUAACUACGUG